UUGGAGUCUGACCAGGAAUACUUUUAUUUAUGGAGACAAAAUUAUCUUUCCAAGAUUAUUAGACUGUUUAAUAUGCUUACUGGUCCGAAGUGCAUAGAUUCUCCUUCAGAUAUGAUACUUGUCAUUUGUCCAUGCUCAAGUUUAAAUCGAAAGGAAUUAAAAUAUUUUUUGAAGAAUAUAUGCAUUAAAUUUGAUGUUCUUAAUGAAUUUGUGUUUCUUGCACAAUCUUAUAAACAUUUAAAGUUUGUAAAAAAUGCCAUUUUACAAGAAUAUGAUUCAAGUAUGUGUAAAUUUUUAGAAGAACAAUCUGUGAUUUUAAAAUGGUCAGAUAUUUCAGCUUUUGUUCAGCAAUACAAGAGUGUUCCAACUAGUAAAAGAUACUUAUUAACAUCACAAAAAACUCAAGUCAUCAUUAAAAAUGAAAUUUCUGAAAUAUUUAAAAAUUAUGGUGUCACAAUUCUUGCAGCAAACGAAUGUGAGGAAUUGUUAUCUGAAACAAGUGUAAGUUUAACAAGCUUGUUUUGUAAGGAAAUGAAAGCAUUUAUGCAAGGAAAAGAAACAUCUUGGAGUUUUUUUUUUUUUUUUCAGAUAACAUUACUAAUUUGCCACUUAAAGAAACUUAACCAAGUGCUCUCAUUGAAAGAGAAAUUGUAGGUUGUAUUAAAAACAAAAUAAAUCAAUGUGUUACAAGCAAGAAUAUGAGUAUUUGUUUAAUAGGAGUUGGCCAUUUACCUGGAACAGGAGCAACAACUGCUUUAAUGCAUGUUUUAUGGCAAAAAAGAUCAUCCUUUAGAUGUUUACUAAUUAAUGGUCAUAUUUUAAAUACUUAUAUUAUGGAUGUUGUUGUAAAACUUAUCAUUUCAAUCAGAGCAUUUGAAGAGAUGGAUGAUGUAGUUCAAGGUUUAAAUAAAAAUCAAAGUUGCCUCCCUCUUCUCAUUCUACUGGAUGAUACUUCAACAGAAAUUGCUGAAAUUUUUCAAAAUAAAAUUCAAAAUGAAAUAAAUAACAGAGGAAUUAAAUUUGAAACCACAGUUGGUAUAAUAUUAUAUAUACAAAAUGAAAAACUUGAUAUUUCUAACUGUAUAAAUCUAAAUGAAAAGUUUACACAAAACGAAAAAGAAAAAUUUGAGUCUAAACUCAAUCAAUUUGAAAAUUUUAUUGAAAAAGAAGAUAUAUUUCUUGAAGAUAUGUUAGGUUUCCUGACAUUUAUGAACAGCGACCUUUCAGAUUUUUAUAAAGAUUAUAUCAUUAAAAUAGUGGAUAAAAUUAUUGGUCAUCUUAACGAUGUUUACUCAAGGGAGUUAAAACUACUUUUAUACUUAGCAGUUUUUAAAUGUUUUAUUGAGGAUGGCAACAUUUCAGUAUCCCAUGCUUAUAAAGUACUUGGGAAAAAGUGGCAAAUAAAAGACCAUGACCUGAAAAAUGUUACCUGUGAAUACUUUCAAAUGCUUGUGAGACAAUCUGAAGAGAGUAAACCUGGGCCUGGAAGUUAUUCUGUUAUGAAAAUAACCCAUUUUGCAGUAGCAAAGAUUUUUUUAACACAGAUUUAAAAAAGAAAUAAAACCACAAUCCUAUCUGUUAUAACAGAACUCCUAGAAAAUAAGUCUUUUAUACAAAAUCAAUUUUUAAAAUCCAAGCUGAUUAUAGAUCUUUGUAAAAUGAUUGUUCAAAGGCAAAGGAAGAAUCAAGAUUCUACUGAAAAAAUUCAAUCGCAUAGGAUGAUUAAUUCAGUCAAAGAAUCAUUUUCUACAUUGCUUUUAAGAAUCUAUGAUGAAAAUAAUAUGAAUAAAUGUGUUUUAAUACUUAAAAAAUUAAUUUUUAUGCUGAAAAAUUCCGAUGAGGAUUUAAGUCAAAAUCUUUCAUAUGUUUAUCAAACACUAUCGAAACUUUAUUUAGAACACAAUUAUUUCAAUGAUGCAAUAAAAAAUGCACAUAAAGCAAUUAGUGUAGAUGAUAAUUAUAUUUCAUUUGAUACAUAAGGGCAAAUAUACAAGAAAGAAUUAGAGAUGAAUUUAAAACUUGGUGCUAAAAAAAAAUUGGAUCUGAUGAUUGUGUUAGAACUUGCAAGUAAAGCUGUGAAAAGUUUUAAAAGUGAACAAAAAAUUGUACAAGAAGAAUAUUUUAAAUUAUCAACAACGAAAGUUACUAAUGAAGAUGAAUCUGGCGAGGACACAAUACAAUUAAAUAUUAUGGGAUACCUAGGUGAAAUCUUAGUCAUACACAUAGUUAUGGAAGUACUGUUACACAAAUUACCUAAUGAAAAACAAAAAAUUAUUAACUAUGCGUCUGGGAAGCAUGAAAACUUUCACGAAAUAGCCAAAGAAAACAAUAUUAAUAUGGAUAAACAUGGACAAUUUCUGCAGAGUCUUUUUGAAAGAUCGCAGUAUUGCAUAGAAAAAAUCUUAAAACAUGCUGAUAUUGAAAAAAUACAAAAUAUGGACUAUCUACUUAAAAUCUGCAAAAGACAAAGUGACUUGUUUGAAGUUGAAAACGAUUCAAAACUACUGGAUAAUUUGAAGAAGCCUAUAUUAAUUGCAGAAAGUAAUUAAUAUAAAAACAAUAAACAAUAUAUAUAUUGUAUUUUAUUCACUAAGAGGUUGAAAAUUAAGUUAAUAGCUAAAUUUAAAAAAAUCCUCAACGACAAUGUAAAAUUUGGACAGCCCUAAAAAGAAUGCACCGAAGGUA